rnacentral:lncRNA from 1 species
UAUGGGUAUUCACUCAGGAUCAGCCUAGAAUAGCCUUUUAUGAUGUUGAUCUUUCUUCUCCAAGAAUUAUCAUCCUGUGAAUCGGAAUGAAGUCUAGAUCGUAAUCAACUCUUUGAUCUUUUUUUUGAUCUUUUUUUCUCUUCUUUUUUUUGAUCUCCUUCACAUAAUUUAGCAACAACCAAGCACUAAAAAUUAGCCAUCAAG